AUGACCUUCAUCAUCAUCUUCAUCUGGACUCUCACAGCGUUUGCUCAAGAGUGUAGAGGACAGAUCACCGUCACUCAGAGUCCCUCAAUGACAGCAGCUCAACCAGGACAAACUGUGAACAUCAACUGUAAAACCAGCAGUGAUGUGCUCAGAUGGAGUGAUGGGACAAACCAUUUCAGCUGGUACUCACAAAAAUAUGGAGAAGCUCCUAAACUCCUGAUUUAUUGGGCAAACCUCCUCCAGUCAGGAACUCCAUCUAGAUUCAGUGGCAGUGGAUCUAACAGUGAUUUCACUCUGACCAUCAGUGGAGUCCAGACUGAAGAUGCUGGACAUUAUUACUGUCAGAGUUAUCACAGUGGUGAUGUGUUCACACAGUGA